rnacentral:rRNA from 1 species
UACAGAGGUCUCAAGCGUUGUUCGGAUUCAUUGGGCGUAAAGGGCUCGUAGGCGGUUUGUCGCGUCGGGAGUGAAAUCCACUGGCUUAACUGGUGGCUUGCUUUCGAUACGGGCAGACUGGAGGUAUGCAGGGGAGAACGGAAUUCCUGGUGUAGCGGUGAAAUGCGCAGAUAUCAGGAGGAACACCGGUGGCGAAGGCGGUUCUCUGGGCAUGUCCUGACGCUGAGGAGCGAAAGCGUGGGGAGCGAACAGG